rnacentral:rRNA from 1 species
CACGUAGGGCGCAAGCGUUGUCCGGAAUUAUUGGGCGUAAAGAGCUCGUAGGUGGUUUGUUACGUCUGCUGUGAAAACCUAGGGCUUAACCCUGGGCUUGCAGUGGAUACGGGCAGACUAGAGGUAGGUAGGGGAGAAUGGAAUUCCUGGUGUAGCGGUGAAAUGCGCAGAUAUCAGGAGGAACACCGGUGGCGAAGGCGGGUCUCUGGGCCGUAACUGACGCUGAGGAGCGAAAGCAUGGGGAGCGAACAGG